rnacentral:rRNA from 1 species
GACGUAGGGCGCGAGCGUUGUCCGGAAUUAUUGGGCGUAAAGAGCUCGUAGGCGGUUUGUUGCGUCGGCUGUGAAAUCCCGAGGCUCAACCUCGGGUCUGCAGUCGAUACGAGCAGACUAGAGUGUUGCAGGGGAGACUGGAAUUCCUGGUGUAGCGGUGAAAUGCGCAGAUAUCAGGAGGAACACCGGUGGCGAAGGCGGGUCUCUGGGCAACAACUGACGCUGAGGAGCGAAAGCGUGGGGAGCGAACAGG